rnacentral:rRNA from 1 species
UACGAAGGGGGCUAGCGUUGUUCGGAUUUACUGGGCGUAAAGCGCACGUAGGCGGAUUGUUAAGUGAGGGGUGAAAUCCCAGGGCUCAACCCUGGAACUGCCUUUCAUACUGGCAAUCUCGAGUCCGGAAGAGGUGAGUGGAACUCCUAGUGUAGAGGUGGAAUUCGUAGAUAUUAGGAAGAACACCAGUGGCGAAGGCGGCUCACUGGUCCGAUACUGACGCUGAGGCGCGAAAGCGUGGGGAGCAAACAGG